CAUCCUCCAAGGCUAAAUACUCCUGACUGACCGAUAGUGAACCAGUACCGUGAGGGAAAGGCGAAAAGAACCCCGGCGAGGGGAGUGAAAAAGAACCUGAAACCGUGUACGUACAAGCAGUGGGAGCACAGGUUUACCUGUGUGACUGCGUACCUUUUGUAUAAUGGGUCAGCGACUUAUAUUCUGUAGCAAGGUUAACCGUAUAGGGGAGCCGGAGGGAAACCGAGUCUUAACCGGGCGUUAAGUUGCAGGGUAUAGACCCGAAACCCGGUGAUCUAGCCAUGGGCAGGUUGAAGGUUGGGUAACACUAACUGGAGGACCGAACCGACUAAUGUUGAAAAAUUAGCGGAUGACCUGUGGCUGGGGGUGAAAGGCCAAUCAAACCGGGAGAUAGCUGGUUCUCCCCGAAAGCUAUUUAGGUAGCGCCUCGUGAAUUCAUCUCCGGGGGUAGAGCACUGUUUCGGCUAGGGGGCCAUCCCGGCUUACCAACCCGAUGCAAACUGCGAAUACCGGAGAAUGUUAUCACGGGAGACACACGGCGGGUGCUAACGUCCGUCGUGAAGAGGGAAACAACCCAGACCGCCAGCUAAGGUCCCAAAGUCAUGGUUAAGUGGGAAACGAUGUGGGAAGGCCCAGACAGCCAGGAUGUUGGCUUAGAAGCAGCCAUCAUUUAAAGAAAGCGUAAUAGCUCACUGGUCGAGUCGGCCUGCGCGGAAGAUGUAACGGGGCUAAACCAUGCACCGAAGCUGCGGCAGCGA
rnacentral:rRNA from 1 species